rnacentral:rRNA from 1 species
GAUGAACGCUGGCGGCGUGCCUAAUACAUGCAAGUCGAGCGAACGGACGAGAAGCUUGCUUCUCUGAUGUUAGCGGCGGACGGGUGAGUAACACGUGGAUAACCUACCUAUAAGACUGGGAUAACUUCGGGAAACCGGAGCUAAUACCGGAUAAUAUUUUGAACCGCAUGGUUCAAAAGUAAAAGACGGUCUUGCUGUCACUUAUAGAUGGAUCCGCGCUGCAUUAGCUAGUUGGUAAGGUAACGGCUUACCAAGGCAACGAUGCAUAGCCGACCUGAGAGGGUGAUCGGCCACACUGGAACUGAGACACGGUCCAGACUCCUACGGGAGGCAGCAGUAGGGAAUCUUCCGCAAUGGGCGAAAGCCUGACGGAGCAACGCCGCGUGAGUGAUGAAGGUCUUCGGAUCGUAAAACUCUGUUAUUAGGGAAGAAUAUAUGUGUAAGUAACUGUGCACAUCUUGACGGUACCUAAUCAGAAAGCCACGGCUAACUACGUGCCAGCAGCCGCGGUAAUACGUAGGUGGCAAGCGUUAUCCGGAAUUAUUGGGCGUAAAGCGCGCGUAGGCGGUUUUUUAAGUCUGAUGUGAAAGCCCACGGCUCAACCGUGGAGGGUCAUUGGAAACUGGAAAACUUGAGUGCAGAAGAGGAAAGUGGAAUUCCAUGUGUAGCGGUGAAAUGCGCAGAGAUAUGGAGGAACACCAGUGGCGAAGGCGACUUUCUGGUCUGUAACUGACGCUGAUGUGCGAAAGCGUGGGGAUCAAACAGGAUUAGAUACCCUGGUAGUCCACGCCGUAAACGAUGAGUGCUAAGUGUUAGGGGGUUUCCGCCCCUUAGUGCUGCAGCUAACGCAUUAAGCACCCCGCCUGGGGAGUACGACCGCAAGGUUGAAACUCAAAGGAAUUGACGGGGACCCGCACAGGCGGUGGAGCAUGUGGUUUAAUUCGAAGCAACGCGAAGAACCUUACCAAAUCUUGACAUCCUUUGACAACUCUAGAGAUAGAGCCUUCCCCUUCGGGGGACAAAGUGACAGGUGGUGCAUGGUUGUCGUCAGCUCGUGUCGUGAGAUGUUGGGUUAAGUCCCGCAACGAGCGCAACCCUUAAGCUUAGUUGCCAUCAUUAAGUUGGGCACUCUAAGUUGACUGCCGGUGACAAACCGGAGGAAGGUGGGGAUGACGUCAAAUCAUCAUGCCCCUUAUGAUUUGGGCUACACACGUGCUACAAUGGACAAUACAAAGGGCAGCGAAACCGCGAGGUCAAGCAAAUCCCAUAAAGUUGUUCUCAGUUCGGAUUGUAGUCUGCAACUCGACUACAUGAAGCUGGAAUCGCUAGUAAUCGUAGAUCAGCAUGCUACGGUGAAUACGUUCCCGGGUCU